GGGCGCAGCAGGCGCGAAACCUCCGCAAUGCACGCAAGUGCGACGGGGGGACCCCAAGUGCCACUCUUAACGGGGUGGCUUUUCAGGAGUGUAAAAAGCUCCUGGAAUAAGGGCUGGGCAAGACCGGUGCCAGCCGCCGCGGUAACACCGGCAGCUCGAGUGGUAGCCGCGUUUAUUGGGCCUAAAGCGUCCGUAGCCGGUCCGAUAAGUCNNUGGUGAAAGCCCACAGCUUAACUGUGGGAAUCGCUGGAGAUACUAUCGGACUUGAGGCCGGGAGAGGCUGGAGGUACUCCCAGGGUAGGGGUGAAAUCCUAUAAUCCUGGGAGGACCACCUGUGGCGAAGGCGUCCAGCUGGAACGGACCUGACGGUGAGGGACGAAAGCCAGGGGCGCGAACCGGAUUAGAUACCCGGGUAGUCCUGGCCGUAAACGAUGCGGACUUGGUGUUGGGACGGCUUUGAGCUGUCCCAGUGCCGAAGGGAAGCUGUUAAGUCCGCCGCCUGGGAAGUACGGCCGCAAGGCUGAAACUUAAAGGAAUUGGCGGGGGAGCAAGGCUGAAACUUAAAGGAAUUGGCGGGGGAGCACGGGAGCAAGGAAUUGGCGGGGGAGCAAGGCUGAAACUUAAAGGAAUUGGCGGGGGAGCAAGGCUGAAACUUAAAGGAAUUGGCGGGGGAGCAAGGCUGAAACUUAAAGGAAUUGGCGGGGGAGCAAGGCUGAAACUUAAAGGAAUUGGCGGGGGAGCAAGGCUGAAACUUAAAGGAAUUGGCGGGGGAGCAAGGCUGAAACUUAA
rnacentral:rRNA from 1 species